rnacentral:rRNA from 1 species
CCUACGGGUGGCUGCAGUGGGGAAUAUUGGACAAUGGGGGCAACCCUGAUCCAGCCAUGCCGCGUGUGUGAAGAAGGCCCUCGGGUUGUAAAGCACUUUCAGUGAGGAAGAACGCCUGGUGGUUAAUACCCAUCAGGAAAGACAUCACUCACAGAAGAAGCACCGGCUAACUCCGUGCCAGCAGCCGCGGUAAUACGGAGGGUGCGAGCGUUAAUCGGAAUUACUGGGCGUAAAGCGCGCGUAGGUGGCUUGAUAAGCCGGUUGUGAAAGCCCCGGGCUCAACCUGGGAACGGCAUCCGGAACUGUCAAGCUAGAGUGCAGGAGAGGAAGGUAGAAUUCCCGGUGUAGCGGUGAAAUGCGUAGAGAUCGGGAGGAAUACCAGAGGCGAAGGCGGCCUUCUGGACUGACACUGACACUGAGGUGCGAAAGCGUGGGUAGCAAACAGGAUUAGAUACCCCUGUAGUC